rnacentral:lncRNA from 1 species
CUGACACACACACACACACACACACACACACACAUAUACACACAUACACACUCUCACACUCAGUUGCACACAUGCCAGGAUCCUCACACUGUACCUGAGCACUCCACGUAGCGACCACCCACGCUGGGAUCCAGUGCGCGCAAGAGACGGACAGAGUGGAAGGAACCCACUGCUUUCCACUUCUGCACAGCUCCUUGGAGUCUCUUCAUCAUCUUCCCCCCCACCAACACAGUCUCUUCAAGCCAUUUAGAUCAUGAACCUGCUCUUUUCUGGUUGCUAAGGAGGGGAAAUCGAGCUGCGAGGAGUGGACGAGGCGGUACUUCCUAAGAGACAGAAAGAGAGAACAAGAGACCAAGCAUGGCCCAGGCCUCUCAGGACCAAGGUGCAGUGGGCAUAGCUGACCCUAAUGAGGAUUCACCCAACAUGAUUGCUUACAGAAAGAUGCUGCCUCCAGCUAAAGGCUCCUACCUGGCUUUUGGGACUAGCAAGCACAUGCAAGAGUUUGGUAUUGAAACAAAAUGCUGAAUUUGUACAGAAUUUUUUGUAAGGGCUUUGGGGAAGUGGCAGGGAUUUGGGUCUGUUCCCCUGCACUAUUUGAGGAGCAUUCAAGGGGGUUGCUGAACUGGAUUAAACUCUCGAGUAACCAAUUAUACAGUUUCAUUUGAG